UUGAGAAAGGAAAGCCAAGGACAGAACAGAGCCCUGGGGAGGAGCUCGUGGUGGCCAAGCCGAAGGAGGCAGGGAAUUCCGGUGGCCCAGAGCCCUGGCAGAGGCUGCCACUGCGUUGAGCCUGUCACUUUGUUGAGUUUCGCGGUGUCGCUGUGCUUGGAAAGACAAUUUCCUUUCAGCAGCGCUGAUAUGGACUUUGGAUGAUCUUGCCUGCUUCUUCAUUUCUCUCUUUCUCAUGAAAGCCUUUCUCUUCUCGAGAUGGAGUGUCACAAUGUUGCCAAGGCUGGUCUGGAACUCCUGGGCUCAAGUGAUCCUCCUGCCUGGGCCUCCAAAAGUGUUGGGAUUACAGUGGUUCUUGACUUUGACUUAGCUCUCAGUGAACUGUGAGCCCUGCAGAAAUAUUGAAGUGUGAAGUCAUGGGUCCUGGGGAGAAGAGAGAAGUGGAGAAAAUGGAACUUCUUUGAAGGUUGAGGUUCUGGUGCGACACAUUCCGGGAAGUCAAUGCAAGCAGUUCUUACUCGGGAAAAUGCGAAAACCUCCCAAGGUUUCAACAUGUUGGUUUAGAACUAAACCAACCAAAAUGUUGGUUUAGAACUAAAAAUAUUGGCUUAAAACCAAAAAUGUUUGUUUAGAAUUAAAAAUAAUGGCCACUAUAUUGAAUGCAUGUGUUUUUCAGAUUCCAGUUUAAUUA